rnacentral:lncRNA from 1 species
CCGCCGCAGGGUGGGGAGGUUUUUGGGGGGACUGCCCCUGCUGACGGGGUGUCUGUGCCACUUCCCAGGGGUGACAGCACCAGCGGUGCCCCCCCGCAGCCCCGCCAAAACGCAAGUGUUGGGGACACGCGGCACUGCCGUGCCAGGGACCACCCACCCUGCCGGCAGCACCCGGCCGCCCGCCUGUCCCCCCGCCACAGGGAUGGUGACCAAGAGACCCUUUGCAGAAGCGGGUGCCAUGUCCCCACCGGGGUCUGGCAUGUGUCCUGGCAGUUGCAGCGGGGUGAGCCUGCCCAAGAAGAGGUGCCCUGGAAUGAGCGCCCCAUCCCCGCGGGAGGCCCCCAGUGAGGCCCAAGACCCGUGGGCUGAAGUUGACCGGGUCCGAGCCGUCCUGGUGGAGGAGCUGGAGCGGCUGUGCCGGGACCUGGGCUCGGUGCGCCGGGAAGUGCGGGGCGUGCGGAGCCGCCUAGAGCGGCUAGAGCGGGGCCAGGCGCGGAAGAUGGCCGCCCUCAUCCACAGCCACCAGCGCCUCCACCACGCCAUCCGGUGCCUGGAGGGACGGUGCUGGGCGCUGGAGACCCGCUCCCGGCCCAACAGCCUGCGGCUGCCGCAGCUACCCGAGGGGGAGGAGGGUGCCGAUGCUGUCGGCUUCCUGCAGACCAUGCUGCCGGCAGCAAUGGGCCUGCUGCCGGCCCCGGGUCCCCUGCAGACCGAGAGCGCCCGCCGGCUGUGCGGCCCUGCCACCCCGGCACGGCCACUGCUCUUCAGCCUGCUCCGCUUCACCGACAAGCUGGCACUGCUGCGGGCAGCCCACCGGUACCCUGAGCCCCACAGCUGGGCCGGCACCCGCCUCGCCGUCGUCCCCACCGCCUGUCCCCCCUGUUGCCAACACCCCCUCGCUGCUGGCCGAUGGGCCUGGAGGGCAGCCGAGCCACGCUGCAGCACCCGCUGCCCCGCUGCCGGCCACGGCCGGGGCUCCGUGGAGCCAUGACUGAGCCCAGCCCAGGGGAGCUGGAUCCUUCUCCCUGCUGCGGCCAGUCCCAGCGCUGUGUUGGCUCCUGCGUGAUGCUAAGCCCUUGUGACUUCCCGCACCUUGGCAUCCCCAUGGUAGCCAUCCCGGAGCCUGGGUGGAGAGGCUGCCUGUGGCAGGAUCCGGCCCCGGCCGAGGAGGGGGUGGCCAAGACAUCUUGCCAGCCACGCCGGAGGGGCCAGCCCUGGUCCUGGCUGCUCCGCAGAGCCCAGCCUUCCUGGGGUGACAUCUCUUGUACCCCACACUCACUGCUGUGAGGCUUGUCCUCCAACCCCCUGCCCCCCCAAGCCCCUGUGGGUGUCUGUGGUGUCUGUCCGUCCCCCCGCA